CGCCCAAUAGCUAGCCCCCACACACAACUUCAACCAACCCCUGUUAAUAACCCCUAAGUACCCCCCGUAUUUAAAUUAAACAAAC
rnacentral:rRNA from 1 species